UACGUAGGUGGCAAGCGUUGUCCGGAUUUACUGGGCGUAAAGAGCGCGCAGGCGGUCGUACAAGUCGCGUGUGAAAGCCCCCGGCUCAACUGGGGAGGGUCACGCGAUACUGUUCGACUCGAAGGCAGGAGAGGGAAGCAGAAUUCCCGGUGUAGUGGUGAAAUGCGUAGAUAUCGGGAGGAAUACCAGUGGCGAAGGCGGCUUCCUGGCCUGUUCUUGACGCUGAGGCGCGAAAGCUGGGGGAGCAAACGGG
rnacentral:rRNA from 1 species